UUUUUUUUUUUUGGUCUUUUUUUUUUAGGGCCGCACCUGCAGCAUAUGGAAGUUCUCAGGCUAGGGGUCUAAUUAAAGCUGCAGCUGCUGGCCUACACCACAGCCACAGCAACACCAGAUCCAAGCCACAUCUGUGACCUACACCGCAACUCAUUGCAACAGUGGAUCCUUAACCCACUGAGAGAGGCCAGGGAUCAAACCCGAGUCCUCACAGAUUCUAGUUGGGUUCAUUACUGCUGAGCCACGAUGGGAGCUCCCAAGGUUUUUAUUGAAUUCCCAAAAUUAUACUUCAUCAGGUUAGCAAAUAAAUUACAAAGAUUCAGGUUAGCAGUUGCUCAAGGGUAUUCAUGGCCUCAAACACGCACAUGUAGGUUUAAAUUUCGAUCCUGCAAUUUCUUGCUGGCAGGUUAUUUAUCAUUCUGACCCAUGGUUUUUUAAUCUGCGAAAUGGACCUACGUACCUACCACACAAUUUAUAUGAUGAUUAAAUAAGACAAUGUAUAUCAGGUUGUUGGGAGAGUACUUGGCAAAGAAAACAUUUCUAAAUACAUGGUCACUACUUUUUCUUUUUCUUUUCUUUUUUGUCUUUUUGCCUAGAAAGGGCCGAUCCCACGGCAUGUGGAGGUUCCCAGGGCCCUAAAAAGACAAAAAAAAAAAAAAAAAAAAAAAAAAGAGAGAGAGAGAGAGAGAAAUGAAAAGGAAAUUAUAAAAUAUACUAGUUUAUUCAGUGAAUAUGUUCAGUUUCUGGAAAAAGUGGAAUAGUUGCUAUCAUAAGAUAGAAAUGAAGAAAUGAAGGUGUUCAUCUUACCUCUGAAUUCUAUGAUUUUAGGUUUUGGACAGAAACAGCAAGCUAAAUCAGAAGUAGAAUUUUUUGCUUUGUUCUUUAGGGAUUCUCCAUACCAUCAAAAAGAACAUUUUUCCAAGGAGAUUAGCAUCUACUGAAGGAAAUUGAGGUGUGAUACCGACAUACCCCAGAACAGAUGAAAGCUAUGAAGGGAAGCAUUCAGCUAGAGGAGUUGGCCCAGAUCUGAGCUGCCACUCAUUUUUAUAGGACUUGCAAGCUAAGAGGUUCAAAUGGUUUUACAUUUUUAAAUGAUUGAAAAAUUUUUUUUAUGACAUAUAAAAAUUAUAUGAAAUCAAAUUUCAGUAUAUUAACAUAAAAGAUGUUACUAUAUUGUUAAAUUAAAAAGGGAAGAUUAUAAAGCAGAACACAUAAUAUGAUAACAUUUUUUAAAAUACUGAAAUACAUCAACACAUGGAUUGAUCAAUUGAUAGACCGUAAAAUGGUGAUAGUCAAUGUAUUUUGCCAGCCGUAGGCAUAAAUCUUGAAACACCAGAAUUGUUGUCGGUUUUAAAUAACCGAUACGGUUAUUUAUCAGCAGAUAACCUUGAAAACCA
rnacentral:lncRNA from 1 species